rnacentral:siRNA from 1 species
UUAUUUUUGUAUCUUAUACCCGC